rnacentral:rRNA from 1 species
AUGGCAGGGAAGAAGGGCGGCGGUGAUGCUGACGGAGAGGCGGCGGCGGCGGUAGACCCUAUCGGUGUUGGUGUUGGCGCCGUUGCUGGCCUGACUGAUCGGCAGCUUGGCGUGGUGCCGCCGCCGGCGCGCGUGCGGGCGGAAGGGUUCGAGGUGAUGGAGCCGCCGGUGGACGAUGAGGAGGCUGCGGCGGGGAGGCGGGCCGACGUGGCCGCGCUCCUCGCCGGCUUCGCCCACCACCUCCGUGACAGGACCGCCCACCAUCUCGGCUACCCUUACAACCUGGAUUUCGACUUCAGUGUGAUGGCUCAGUUCCAGAGCUUCUCCAUCAACAACCUUGGCGACCCUUUCAUCGAGAGCAACUACGGUGUGCACUCAAGGCAGUUUGAGGUCGCCGGCUACAUCACCAACUGUGGAACCGAGGGGAAUCUGCACGGCCUACUAGUCGGGAGAGAACUCUUUCCUGAUGGAAUUAUAUACGCGUCUUGCGAGUCACAUUACUCUGUCUUCAAGGCAGGUAGGAUGUAUAGGGUCGAGUGCGUCAAGAUCGACGCUCUGGUCACCGGAGAGAUGAAUUGUGCGGAUUUCAGAGCAAAGCUGUUGGAGAACCUAGGGAGACCCGCCAUUGUGAAUGUGAAUAUUGGGACAACUGUGAAGGGAGCAAUUGAUGAUCUUGACAGGAUCAUAAGUAUUCUUGUGGAAUGUGGGUUUCAAAACCGGUUUUAUAUCCAUUGUGACGGUGCUUUGGCCGGUCUUAUGAUGCCAUUUAUAAGACAAGCUCCAAAGGUGACAUUCACGAAGCCCAUCGGAAGCGUCAGUGUCUCUGGCCACAAGUUCAUGGGUUGCCCAGUACCAUGUGGUGUGGUAAUAACCAGGCUUGAGCAUGUAAAAGUACUUUCUACCGAUAUCGAAUACCUAUCAUCUAGAGACGCAACAAUCAUGGGGAGCCGCAAUGGCAAGGGUUACAAAGGCAUCCGCAAGGAAGUUCAAAAGUGCUUGAGAAAUGCUCAUCACCUCGCCAACCGUCUCAAGGAGAUGGGAGUAAGUGCAUCCCUAAACGAGUUGAGUAGCAUGGUGGUCUUCGAGAGGCCACAAGACGAGACUUUUGUGCACAAGUGGCAGCUUGCCUGUGAAAGCAGCAUCGCACAUGUGGUAGUGAUGCCAAACAUGAAGGAAAUAUGCCCUAGAGGCAAUAAUAAAAAGCUCGAUGACUUUGUUGAGGAGCUUGUCGCCAGGCGGGCCUGGCAUGAGCGCAAAGUGUUUGACAUACUAUGUGUUGCAAAGGACAUAGGGCAAGAGAAUUGCCUUUGUAGUCUACACAACUAG